rnacentral:ncRNA from 2 species
UUUCCGUAAAUAAUUUCAGGUGUUGUAAAACUUAACAGGGAAUCCCGUGAAAAUCGGGAGCGGGCCCGCCGCUGUCAUCGGGGACAAAUCUCACAAGAUGCCACUGUCUGAGAAGUGAGAAAUGAAAAGUGAGAAAUGCCUUAAUUCUCACUUCUCACUUAAAAGCCGGGAAGGUGUGAGUAUGAGGACGAUCCGAGAGCCAGAAUACCUGCCUGAAUGAAAAAAAAUAC